rnacentral:rRNA from 1 species
AUUGAACGCUGGCGGCGUGCCUAGUACAUGCAAGUCGAGCGGGGAUUAUGCUUGAUCGCUUCGGUGAGACGGCAGAUAUCCUAGCGGCGGACGGGUGAGUAACGCGUGGGUAAUCUACCUCGUAGUUCGGGAUAACAGGCCGAAAGGCUUGCUAAUACCGGAUGAGUUCAUGCUUAUGCAUAUAGGCAUGAAGAAAGGGCUAGCCCGCUAUGAGAUGAGCCCGCGUCCCAUUAGCUUGUUGGUGGGGUAAUGGCCUACCAAGGCAACGAUGGGUAGCCGGCCUGAGAGGGUGUACGGCCACACUGGGACUGAGACACGGCCCAGACUCCUACGGGGGGCAGCAGUAGGGAAUUUUCGGCAAUGGGCGAAAGCCUGACCGAGCGACGCCGCGUGAGGGACGAAGGCCUUCGGGUUGUAAACCUCUGUCUGGGGGAUGAGAACGGACGGUACCCCCGGAGGAAGCCCGGCUAACUACGUGCCAGCAGCCGCGGUAAUCUCGUCUCU